GUCUGUGCUCACUGUAAGGA
rnacentral:snRNA from 1 species